rnacentral:Y_RNA from 1 species
GGCUGAUCUGAGUACAGUGGUGUUUACAACUAAUUGAUCACAACCAGAUACAGAUUUCCUGUUCCUUCUCCACUCCCACCGUUUCACUUGACUAGCCUUUG